rnacentral:rRNA from 1 species
GAUCCUGGCUCAGGAUGAACGCUAGCUACAGGCUUAACACAUGCAAGUCGAGGGGCAGCAUUUUAGUUUGCUUGCAAACUAAAGAUGGCGACCGGCGCACGGGUGAGUAACACGUAUCCAACCUGCCGAUAACUCGGGGAUAGCCUUUCGAAAGAAAGAUUAAUAUCCGAUAGCAUAUUGAGAUCGCAUGAUUUUGAUAUUAAAGAAUUUCGGUUAUCGAUGGGGAUGCGUUCCAUUUAG